rnacentral:lncRNA from 1 species
GUCAAUUAAAAGUAAAAUAAAACUUAAAAAUAUAUACAUGGAUCAAAAAAUUAAGUAAAAUGAGAUGUUUAACUUUGCAGGUUUGUGAAAAGGCUGUUAGAGAAAACCUCUUAUCUUUUACCUAGUGGAUGCUUAAUAAAUGGUAACUAUUGUCAUCUCUAAGCACCUGUCCCUGCUUUCUCCUUGUGUUUUUCCUGAAAGAGGAAGAGAAGAUGAGAAAUGUUUUAGAGGUGUUAAACCUCCAUUCGUAUUAUUUUUUGCAUCUAUGCCUCAGUUGAUUUCAGCAGUCACUUGAGCAAUUGAACAUACUCAUGUUUAUAGGGCUUACCUAGAUGAUACUGAGUGUGACUGCAGUGUUUUAUAAAGUCCUAGAGGGUAUUAAUAACAUCCUGUCGCUAUCCCAGUAUAAACUACUAUAACUAGAAUCUUCUGGAAGGGAGUGUUACUGAACUGCAGACCUGUUAACCUGCAUUUUACACCUUUGGGCAUUCUGAAAUCUUCAUAUCUUUAGUCCUAUCAAGAGACAAACAGCAUACACAACAGUGCUUCUGACAAGUUUAAUAUGUGCUUAACUUUUAUGACAAUUGAAGGGAUUUAUGCUUUUAUAUUGCAAAUUACUGUACUUUCUGGCUGAAACUCAAUCCUUAUCCAUAUUCAGAAAAAGGAUAACUAAUAUUUAGCAAGAAAAUAGAGGAGUUUGAAACUUUGUUUAAGAAAACUUAGGUACUUUACCUGAACAAAUUUCAAAUGGAUCCAUUUAAAAUGAAAUUAAAUGACACUUAACUGGUUUGCAAGUUGGGGCCUAUUUAUCUCAGUAAAAUGAUUAAAGUCUUGAUUUAUCCCUAAAAUUAGCUUUAUUGUUACACUUAAUUAUGCUGGGAAAUUGUUAAAGACUUGUAGUCUCUCUCUAUCCCUUUAAACUACACUUUAUGCAGCUAAUAAUUGAAUAUUGGACGGGAUAACUUGAUUUUCCAAAGAAAUAUGUUUCUAAUAUUUUUCUCUUUUUAUUGCAGAAAUUGAAACAAGUUGAAGAAACAAAAGAAGAUUCUGAAAAUAGAUUAUCUAAAAUUUCCCUGGAGUCAUUCAAUAAAUUUAACAGCAAUACCGUGAUUUUAUUAGAAAAAGAGAACUCUCUGAACAAGGUUGAAGGACAAAAGGAAGAAAAAGAAAAAAAUGAAGAGGCAUCUUUAAGUAGCUCAGAUAGACCUGGGGUAGAUAAUUUGGAAUCUUUGAGUGAUUCUUUAUAUGAUAGCUUCUCUUCUUGUGCAAGUCAAGGUUCAAAUGAUGUAUAAAGGACUUUUCCCCUCUUAGUGACAGCUGGGAAUAGUGCACUUAAGGAAAUGGGGCGGGGGUGGGAGAUAUAGAGAUAACCAUAAACUAUUGCAACUCCAGAGUCUACCUUGUCACAUUCACAGCAGGCGACCCAGCAGAGCAUAUGUCUCUGGUAGGGCAAUAAAGAACAACUCCAUUUAUUGUGUUUCAAGGGGAUUAAAAAGUAAACACGAUACAGACUUCUUAAUUUUGCACUUUUUUUCGAAUACUUGUACAGAAGUUGUAAAUGUUUUGGAAGAGAAAUUAUAUUUGUAGGAGGAAAAUGAUAGCAAUAAAUGGAAUCAGUGCCAUGCUCUUGAAUUGAUGUACUAAGUCUUAGAAGUGGAUGAUAAUAUAUAUUUUUUAAAAUUUCGACUAAAGAUUUUGUGAAGUUCAUUGUUCUAGUCCUCAAAUUAUUUGUGGGUACACCUAAAACAAGGCCUACGGGGAAAAAAAACAGAGGGAUCAUGAUAAUCUCUAUCUUACAAUAACAUUUUGAUAGAAAUUUUAAUUCUACCAUCAUUUGAAAAGUAUUGCCAGAGAGAUUCAAGUCAUAGGGAUAAGUGUAAUUCUGCCUUUCCUGAAAAAUAAAGUGUGAAUACAGAUUGGAAGUGUGACACUGAAUCUAGUAGCAAUCUAACCCUAAUUCCAAUAGCAGAUUUCCCUCCAAACAUCUCCUUACAUUCUCUUCUACUCAGUGCUUCUCUCUGAUUCUGAGUAGUAUUUGCUGAUCUUAUCUUCUUGCUCUUUUUAUUAAAAUCUGAGUACUCUCAAAAUGAAAGCAAAUUCCUAUUUGCCAUGUUCACUUUUUAAAACAUAAAAUGGUUGGUGCUAUAAAAAAAUUCUUACUUUUAAUAUUCUUUUUUUUUCUACAAAGACUGUUUAUAUGUAAGGAUAAAUUCUAUUUUAAAGGUUAUGUGUAUUUUUUCUAGAUGUGAACUAUUUAUAAUUGCUUUUGUACAGGAGCUUGUAAACUAGACAUAAUAGAAAUAUUUUUAGGAUCUAUAUGGUUACUUUAGCACACACUUGUUCUUUAAAGGAUAUUGUAUGAUCAGUGUUAUUUUGUUAAUUUGUGCAAUUUGUUAUAUUUGAAUUUUGUUACCUUUAAUGAAAAUUAUGUAAAGUGCCCUUGUCUUUCAGACUUUUAAAAAUCCCUUUGUUCCAUUUCUGAAUAAAAGUCCUGUCACAAUUGCACACUCUGAAAGCUGGAAAG